rnacentral:rRNA from 1 species
AAAUUGAAGAGUUUGAUCAUGGCUCAGAUUGAACGCUGGCGGCAGGCCUAACACAUGCAAGUCGAACGGUAACAGGAAGAAGCUUGCUUCUUUGCUGACGAGUGGCGGACGGGUGAGUAAUGUCUGGGAAACUGCCUGAUGGAGGGGGA